rnacentral:misc_RNA from 1 species
AAGUCGUAACAAGGUUUCCGUAGGUGAACCUGCGGAAGGAUCAUUAGUGAAUAAACAAGUGCAGGUUGUGCUGGCCUUCUUGGUAUGUGCACGCCUGCCAACGUUUCAUUCUAUCUUCCCACCUGUGCACUAUGUGUAGAUUCUGUAUGCUAUUGUCAGGCCUUUAUUGAGCUUGGUUGAGAGGAGUUGCUUGUUUUCGCAGACAAGCUCUCCUUGGGCAUGCAGGGUCUAUGUUUAUAUCAACACCAUAUGAAUGUUAUAGAAUGUGCUUUGGGCUUUUUGGCCUUUAAAUUAUAUACAACUUUCAACAACGGAUCUCUUGGCUCUC